UUGGAUGCGUCGAAUCAAAAAAAAAAAAAAAAAAAAAAAAAAAAAAAAAAAAA
rnacentral:ribozyme from 13 species